UUAAGUUCAGCGGGUACUCCUACCUGAUCCGAGGUCAACCUUAGAAGUUAAGGGGGUUUAACGGCCGGCACCCGCAGCACGCCCUGAGCGAGGUGAUUGCUACUACGCUCGGUGUGACAGCGAGCCCGCCACUGCUUUUCGGGGCCUGCGGCAGCCGCAGGUCCCCAACACAAGCCCGGGGCUUGAUGGUUGAAAUGACG
rnacentral:misc_RNA from 1 species